GAGGAUGGGAUCUGACCUGACAAUUUAUUUCCUGACAAACUCAAUAGUUGAAGUUUUCUUAAUUUUCCCAUAGAAGAAGGGAUGACCCCAGUGAAAAGAUUUUUUUCCAUGGUCAAUAAAAUUAAGUUAAUGAAAUUCCCUAAUGCUUGAGGAAUAAUUCCUGUGAUUUGAUUACCUCCCAAAUAUAGCGCAUUAAGUUGAGCUGACAAAUUGGCUACAGAGUUGGGCAAAACACCUCCAAAUUUAUUUAUAUCAAAACCUAAUUCUUGCAGAUUGCUGCAAUUUUUCAAAGAUGUUAAAAAAUCCAAAUCAUUUGUGGAAUUAUACCCUAGAUUAUUAUCGGAAACGGUUAGCCUAAAAAGACUUUGAAAAUUUCCCAGACAAUUCGGUACUUGUCCUUCAAAAUUAUUUAUGGAAAGAUCAAGUAGAUCCAGUUGGGAUGCAUUGCAAAAGGAAUUUGGAAUUGACCCAGAAAACAAAUUAUCUCCAAUACCAAUCCGUUGGAGAUUUGGGAGAGUAAUCCCUAUGUUGUUUGGUAGGGUACCCCUAAACUUGUUUUCCGCAAUUGAGAAUUCAUUAAGAGACGAAAUAUUGAAAAAGGAUGAAGGAAAUAUACCAGAUAGUUUAUUGCCCAUAACAGCAAAAAAUUCUAAGCCUGUUAAUUGGCCAAAUUCAUGUGGAAUAUUUCCCUCCAACUCCAUCCAUGCUGCACUAAGGAUAGCAAGCGAUGAAAGAUUGCCAAGGGAAGCUGGAAAUUUUCCAUUUACAUUGUUUAUGCACAUCAGAAGCACUUCAAGCAUUUCCAAAGAACCAAGCUCUUGUAUUGCGUUGUUUUGGAGAUUGAAUGCUUGCAAUCGAAACAAAUUACCAACUUCCUGUGGAAUUUGACCAUUGAAAAUGUUGUUUCGGAGGUUUAGGACUCUUAAAAAACUCAAAUUGCCAAUAUAUGGAGAUAUGGAUCCAGUCAAAUUCUUGCCUUUUAACACCAUUGAAGUGACUCUCUGGUGACGGCGACUACAAGUGAUUCCAUACCAUUCGCAAAAAGGGAGAGAAUGAUUCCAUGAGUUGAAGAUUUGAUAUGGAUCACUGGAUAUCCUUGCUUUGAAUUUGAGCAAAGCCAGUUGAUCAGUCUCAUUUGCUAAAGAAUGGACAUGCAUGAAUUGGAGGUUUGAAGAAAGGAAAAUCACAAGUUGAAGAUAAACAAGAAAAAUCUCAAAAAUCAUCAUUUGGUUUGCGUGAGAGUAGGCUGGUGCUGGGAGAAU
rnacentral:misc_RNA from 1 species